CAAACUGCGUCUGCAUAAUCCACAAAUCCACACUGCUAAUUCCAGUAACAAUUUAGGGUCAUAUAUUAACUUGUGUUCACCUCACUGCAAGUUUUGAGGCCGGAUUGACUGUCGAAACUAGUGCUUCCGUAGCCGAACAAACUUGCAUCUCACAGCACAAACUGUGGUGCAUUCAAGGACCGCCGAACAAAGUGCGAAAUGUCAAUGCUUGACAAGAAGACAUUUCCAUUGAAACAAAAAAGAUAAACAUGUAGAAAUGCUAGGCGUUCUAACAGUGGUACAUGUAUUUGACCUGUAUUAUCACACAUUUAUAAAUUAUUAUCGACUUAGAGAUGUGUUUUCUGCAGGAAAAAAUUUUGGACCCUGCGAUUGGCUGGUGAUUAGUCGAGGGUGUACCUCGGUAGUCUCUGGGAUAGGCUCCAGCUUACUCGUGACCCUUAUGAGGACAAGCGGUAUAGGAAAUGGAUGGAUUUUACCAAAAAUCCACAAAUUUGCUUUGAAGAAUGUUGGGCUUUGAAUAUGCCAUGAUACACCAGGAUACACUAUCAUGAGUGGUCAGCAUCCUGUAGCUUUAGCUCUGCAUGCGCUUUAAAAAAAUUGGUUAGUACUUAGUACAAUAUGUGGUGAUAUGAGAAGACACGUGCACUGCUUAUUGGACUGAUUCUCAUUGGUUGCUAGCGCUAGGUGGCGGUCUAUAAGAGUGCCUGUUGCUUUGUCGCUAGCUCUUUGACCUCUCGCUGGGUGCCCUUCGGCGUUCACUUCCGCGUUCGCUUCGUGCCUCGGCGGCACAGACAGCCGCUGCAUAAACGGGGUUAAUGCAGCUCGCGGACCCAUGCCGCGCGCAACUAAACUUGAGGCUCCCGUGUCUGCGCCUCUCGCCUCUCAAUGAGCGACAAGCUUGAUGUCAGGUGGAGCUGCGGGUCAAAUGGUGGUGGUGGUGGUGGUGGUGCUCCUUCGGUGGUGGUAACUUUGUUUGUAUAUAUUUGCAAAGCACUUGUUUCGGUUGAUUUUGGUUUUGUAGUGGUUUUGGUGCUUUAUUUAGGUUGCCCCAUUUAGUUUCCCCCCAUCCAUCCAGCUUAACUCCAGCUCCCUGGCUCUUUGUGGGUGAGUGUAUGGAGUCUGUUUUAAGGAUUUGUAAUAAGAAUAAUAAAUAUUGUAAAUGGAGCCGUGUCUGUCGCCUCAUUCAAGGUAAGCUUACCUGUGUGUCUUAGUUUCAUUAUUCCCCUCUUAGGGGUGACGUUGUUGAACCCUUUACUACAUCAGUCCAUACAAAUUUUGAACCCCCUACCCUCCCCGCCACAAAUACUUAGUGUGAAAGUGGUGUGUUAAACUUUCCGUUCUCAUCAGCGCCAUUCAACACUUAAAACACUGGUUCUGUUGCUGCUGUGCUGUAUGUACUAUGUAUGUAAUAUACUUGUUAAGAACUGAACAUUUUCAGGUUGAAUUCUUCAUAGAAAAACAGCUGUAGGAUCUAACACAGGAUGGCUGAGGCAACUGAAGUCGAGCGUUCCUUAUCAAAUUUUCCUCAGUUUUGGACCUGUUGCUAUACACCAACCUAAGAAUUGGCCAUAUGGACGGCAUAAGAUAUGUCGAACCCAAAAUACUAACGCUAGCUAAGGUCAUAGCUUUUUUUUUUUAACAAAUUACCGACCCAAAAUGAAUAUACUUAUUAUAAAUGUGUUCCAUUUUAUCUACCGUAAGUACGAUUAAAUUAGAUUGUCAAGGCCACGAGCUUUGGGUACAAGGACAAGUACAAGCGGCCAAAAUGAGUUUUCUCCGUAGGGUGGGUGGGCUCUCCCUUUUGAAAUAAGGUGAGAAGCACUGUCAUCUGGGAGAAACUGAGUAGAACCGCUGCGCCUCCGCAUUGAGGAGCCAGAUGAGGUGGCUUGGCCAUCUGGUGAGGAUGCCUUCCGGGCGCUUCUACGGGGAGGUUUUCAGGGCACGUCUGACCGGUAGGAGGCCUCGAGGAAGACCAGGACACGGAGAGACUACAGCAUGUCUCAACUGGCCUGGGAGCUGGGACAAAGCGGCUGGGGUGAGGAAAGUCUGGCCUUCCCUGCUUAAGCUGCUGUCCCUGCGACCCGACCUUGGAUAAGCGGUAGAAGAUGGAUGGAUGGAUGGAUGGAUGGAUGGAUGUCAAGGUGUACCUAAUUCGAUAUCUUCGGGAUUUCCAUCUUUUUAUGUGCUGUGAUCCCUUAACACGGGUGUUUUUUCCAGUGAGGGCCACAUAUUGAAAAAUUAAAGUGUGUAAGGGCCACUUUGAUAUUUUGUACAGCAACAUGUAUGUACAUAUGCUAAGACGUUAUAUUUCAAGAAAAAACUGCAUCUAAGCUUUGCGUUAUAGGUGAAAUGUGUAAUGUUAGUAUGAACAUUUGUUUUUACUUUUUUUUUUCUUCCCCUUUGUUGUGCUUUUUUUUUUUUAAUUUCCAAAUAUUUUUCUUCAUAUUUGUACAUUUUCUUCUUGUAAUAUUUUGACUUUAUUCCCAUAGUAUACAGUAACUUCCAAGUAACAGAAAUGAUAACUUUAGAUUUUUUUUUGUCUCAUAAUAUUACGACUAUCUGCUCAGGAGGUCCUUUGCGGUGCAGGAGGCACUCCUGAAGAUCUGUUACUGUAUGACUCUGUGAUGGCAUCUGCCAUCUUCUAUGGUGUGGGCUGCGGGGGGAGCAGCAUCACAGCAGCUGACAGGAAGAGGCUGGACAAGCUGAUUAAGAAGACCAGCUCUGGCCUGGGGUGUCCUCUGUACCAGGUGGAGGAGGUGGGCAAGAAGAGGAUGACAGCCAAGCUGUCCUCCAUGAUGAACAAAGACUCCCACCCCCUCCAACACACUCACUGCACUAAGUAGCUCCAUUAGUGACAGGAUGAUACAUCCAAAGUGUGUGAUGGAGAGAUGCCACAGGUCUUUCCUCCCUGCAGCUGUCAGACU